rnacentral:misc_RNA from 1 species
AGAAUAUUUACUAGACGCCAACAGCCCACAGAAUCCCUCUACCGUCUGAUUUUGCCGCGUUUCUUGAUGACACCAGUUACUGGACUCUUACUGACGUGGCAACAUCAGAACCAACUACGAAAUAUGUUGAAAACUUGAAAUACAUACGCGACAAAAACCGAACGAUGAUUACUCCGGCCGGUCGUUAACAGCCGGGAAACCCUUUUUUCUUUUUUUCGGGAGAUUACAGUGGAUCCACUAUGAAGAGGGGAACUCUAUGCUAACCAACGACAUCGUUUUAUCACCAGAAACGUCUUUUGUUUCUUGCGGUUCUAUUUGCAUAUCGUUAUAGGCUUCCAGAACUAUGUUUUCAGCUGAUGAGUGUGGAUAAUUUCUGUCACGAGAAGGAGACGGUGACGGAGUAUAGUACGGAGGCGAAGCACACGGAGUCGAAAAAGGCGUCGAAUCAUCUAUGUCAAUCACCACAGCA